rnacentral:rRNA from 1 species
GAUGAACGCUGGCGGCGUGCCUAAUACAUGCAAGUCGAGCGAACAGACGAGGAGCUUGCUCCUCUGACGUUAGCGGCGGACGGGUGAGUAACACGUGGAUAACCUACCUAUAAGACUGGGAUAACUUCGGGAAACCGGAGCUAAUACCGGAUAAUAUAUUGAACCGCAUGGUUCAAUAGUGAAAGACGGUUUUGCUGUCACUUAUAGAUGGAUCCGCGCCGCAUUGGCUAGUUGGUAAGGUAACGGCUUACCAAGGCAACGAUGCGUAGCCGACCUGAGAGGGUGAUCGGCCACACUGGAACUGAGACACGGUCCAGACUCCUACGGGAGGCAGCAGUAGGGAAUCUUCCGCAAUGGGCGAAAGCUUGACGGAGCAACGCCGCGUGAGUGAUGAAGGUCUUCGGAUCGUAAAACUCUGUUAUUAGGGAAGAACAAAUGUGUAAGUAACUAUGCACGUCUUGACGGUACCUAAGCAGAAAGCCACGGCUAACUACGU